AAAACAAAAUGCCCCUUUUGCCUGCUGCUUUUGAUCAACCAUAUUUUAGAAUUGAACUCUCCGAUACACAGUUGUGCAAUACAUAUACUUUAAACUGUUUUUAAUGUGGGUUGUGCUGUGCUCCAAUACAUUUUAAAAAUAAAUCAGAAGUUUUCUUUCUUUCAGUGUGUUCAGAUAUUUCAUCCCUCCUACUGAUAUAUUUUGACUUUUCAUUAACACAUUGAGUUGAUUUGUUAGAUGCGUCAUGUUUAAAUGUUCCCUCAUUCACUUUUAUUGUUUUUUUAUCUUUCUUUUCUCUAAGCUUUUCUCUCCUCUCACCGAUGGUAUGGCUCUAAUUUUAAUACAUACAGUAAAUCAUGAAAAUGUUUCCUUUUGUUAGUCUGUCUCUUGCCUCUCCCUCUCUCAUCACCCUUGUUUCUACCUAUUCCUCUUUUACUAACUCUCCCCAUUGCCCUCCCUUUCUCCUCCCCUCCUCUCCCCUCCUCCUCCACCUUUCCUCCAGUAUCUCACCUCUUCCUCUAUAAUUGUGCAGUAUCUCGGGCCAAUGGGAGCGACACACUAUUGUUUCCAGUUUCCGCCUCCCAGACAUGGAUCCGAAGUGGAACCAGCUAUCAGAAUCCAUUCCUAGAACCACCUGACAUGCUGAUCUACAGGUCAUCCCUCGCACUCGUCAGAAGCGUUUGGGGAACAGGGCCUUCUCAGUAGCUGCACCGAGACUCUGGAAGAGUCUCCCUGAAAAUAUAACAACAGCAGAAUCGCUCUGCUCGUGUAAAAGGUGUCUCCGGACCCACCCUCUUGCCUCCCCCUGCAACGAUUCUUGACAUGAUUUGCAUUCUACAUUGAUACGAAUGUCUGUAUGUGUGUGUAUGUGUGCACUAUGUAUCUAUGCAUAUAUUUAAGCACCUGCUUUGGUUUUAAAGCGCCCUAUAA